UUUGACCUCGGAUCAGGUAGGGAUACCCGCUGAACUUAAGCAUAUCAAUAAG
rnacentral:rRNA from 2 species